GGUCCCGCAUAGUUGACAAGA
ensembl:piRNA 21ur-2234 ncRNA